rnacentral:rRNA from 1 species
CCUACGGGUGGCAGCAGUGAGGAAUAUUGGUCAAUGGACGCAAGUCUGAACCAGCCAAGUAGCGUGCAGGAUGACGGCCCUCCGGGUUGUAAACUGCUUUUAGUUGGGAAUAAAAGGGGGCUCGUGAGCCCCGUAUUGUAUGUACCAUCAGAAAAAGGACCGGCUAAUUCCGUGCCAGCAGCCGCGGUAAUACGGAAGGUCCGGGCUUUAGCCGGAUUUUUUGGGUUUAAAGGGAGCGUAGGCCGGCUUUUAAGUCAGCUGUGAAAGUCCGCGGCUCAACCGUGGAAUUGCAGUUGAAACUGGAGGCCUUGAGUGCACACAGGGAUGCCGGAAGUCGUGGUGUAGCGGUGAAAUGCUUAGAUAUCACGAAGAACUCCGAUUGCGAAGGCAGCCUACUAAACUGCCACUGACAUUGAUGCUCGAAAGUGUGGGUAUCAAACAGGAUUAGAUACCCUUGUAGUC